rnacentral:rRNA from 1 species
GACGAACGCUGGCGGCGUGCUUAACACAUGCAAGUCGAACGGAAAGGCCCUGCUUUUGUGGGGUGCUCGAGUGGCGAACGGGUGAGUAACACGUGAGUAACCUGCCCUUGACUUUGGGAUAACUUCAGGAAACUGGGGCUAAUACCGGAUAGGAGCUCCUGCUGCAUGGUGGGGGUUGGAAAGUUUCGGCGGUUGGGGAUGGACUCGCGGCUUAUCAGCUUGUUGGUGGGGUAGUGGCUAACCAAGGCUUUGACGGGUAGCAGGCCUGAGAGGGUGACCGGCCCCAUUGGGACUGAGAUACGGCCCAGACUCCGACGGAAGGCAGCAGUGGGGAAUAUUGCACAGUGGGCGGAAGCCUAAUGCUGCAACUCCGCGUGCGGGAUGACGGCCUUCGGGUUGUAAACCGCUUUCGCCUGUGACGAAGAGUGAGUGACGGUAAUGGGUAAAGAAGCACCGGCUAACUACGUG